AUUGAACGCUGGCGGCAGGCCUAACACAUGCAAGUCGAACGAGUGGCGGACGGGUGAGUAAUGUCUGGGAAACUGCCUGAUGGAUGGGGAUAACUACUGGAAACGGUAGCUAAUACCGCAUACCAUCGGAUGUUCCCAGAUGGGAUUAGCUAGUAGGUGGGGUAACGGCUCACCUAGGCGCCGAUCCCUAGCUGGUCUGAGAGGAUGACCAGCCACACGGGAACUGAGAAAAGGUCCAGAAUCCUACGGGAGGCAGCAGUGGGGAAUAUUGGACAAUGGGCGAAAUCCUGAUGCAGCCAUGCCGCGUGUAUGAAGAAGGCCUUCGGGUUGGAAAGUACUUUCAGCGGGGAGGCGUUACCCGCAGAAGAAGCACCGGCUAACUCCGUGCCAGCAGCCGCGGUAAUUC
rnacentral:rRNA from 1 species